AACGAACGCUGGCGGCGUGCCUAACACAUGCAAGUCGUGCGAGAAAGUUCCUUCGGGAGCGAGUAAAGCGGCGCACGGGUGAGUAACACGUAGGUAACCUGCCCCCCAGUCUGGAACAACUAGAGGAAACUCUAGCUAAUGCCGGAUGAGACCACGAUCCCUUCGGGGGUUGCGGCCAAAGAUGGCCUCUACUUGUAAGCUAUCGCUGAGGGAUGGGCCUGCGGGCCAUUAGCUUGUUGGUGAGGUAACGGCUCACCAAGGCUGUGAUGGCUAGCUGGUCUGAGAGAAUGACCAGCCACACUGGGACUGAGACACGGCCCAGACUCCUACGGGAGGCAGCAGUGGGGAAUAUUGCGCAAUGGGCGAAAGCCUGACGCAGCGACGCCGCGUGGGUGAUGAAG
rnacentral:rRNA from 1 species